rnacentral:rRNA from 1 species
CCCGCUGAACUUAAGCAUAUCAAUAAGCGGAGGAAAAGAAACUAACAAGGAUUCCCCUAGUAACUGCGAGUGAAGCGGGAAAAGCUCAAAUUUAAAAUCUGGUGGUCUUUGGCCAUCCGAGUUGUAAUUUAGAGAAGCGUCUUCCGCGCUGGACCAUGCAUAAGUCUCCUGGAAUGGAGCGUCAUAGAGGGUGAGAAUCCCGUCUUUGGCAUGGACCCCCAGGGCUUCUGUGAUGCGCUCUCAAAGAGUCGAGUUGUUUGGGAAUGCAGCUCAAAACGGGUGGUAAAUUCCAUCUAAAGCUAAAUAUAGGCGAGAGACCGAUAGCGAACAAGUACCGUGAGGGAAAGAUGAAAAGAACUUUGGAAAGAGAGUUAAACAGUACGUGAAAUUGCUGAAAGGGAAACGCUUGAUGUCAGUCGCGUCGGCCGGGGGUCAACCUUGCUUUUUUCGCUGGGUGUACUUCCUGGUCGACGGGUCAGCAUCAGUUUCGGUCGCCGUACAAGGGCGGAGGGAACGUGGCACUCUUCGGAGUGUGUUAUAGCCUUUCGUCGCAUGCGGUGGCUCGGGACUGAGGAACUCAGCACGGCUUCUAGUUUGUGCUCAGGAUGCUGGCAUAAUGGCCUUAAGCGACCCGUCUUGAAACACGG